GCUAGCUCUACCGUGCCAAGUUAUUAAGGUCGAUGUUCUCCUAGCUCGCGUUACUGAUGUGAGGAGUGUGUUCACUGCAUGCCCACCUAACGAAAACUAGAUAGAUCCUCUAGUAGUACCUCGGUGGCUAUGGCAAUCAGCUUCCUUGGUCUCCUGAUUACUUAGGAUCUGCAUAGUUUUCAUUUAGGGAAAAGAAAGGGAGGUUGUGGUAGCUAGUGCUCCUGUUAUUUACUGCUGUAACUGUGACUUGGUACUAUGUUGAUGGGUUUUGGGUUUUGUACUUUGAGUAGAUCCGCUGUUUGCAAGCUGCAAAAUGUGGACGAAUAAAGUCAGUAUGUCAAUUAGUACAUGUCAUGUCUUCUAUCACUACUAAUUAACCAGUAUGCCGAAUUCUGGUACCUGUCAUAUAUAUCACUAAUUAAGUUAGUUGAUUAAUCUUUGGAGCUCUUUCAUGGUCAGUAUGUCAAUUGCUGCCUGUCAUAUAUUUCCACCACUAUGCAGAGGCCGGGCUGCGUCCCUUUUCCAAAAUAUAUAUAUAUAUAUUUCCACCACUAGUUGGCCAGAAUGCCAAAUACUAGUACCUGCACUAUAUAUGUAUCACUAGUUAUGUCAGUAAGUUGAUUUCUAUCUGUCUUUAAGGGGGGAAAUAGUUUCAUUUUAUUUCUUUCUAUUCUAUGUUUUUUAUUUGCUUCCUCGGAGUGGUCCACUACAUGACAACGAUUUAUCCCUCGGGUGAUUAGAGGAGUUGGUACCAAUUGAUCAAAUUUGAAAUUAAACUUGGUGCAUGUAUUUUUCUACAAUUGUUUCGGCUUCUAAAUCUGUUCAAGAUUUAGUAUUUCUAAAAAGUCUGAGAACAACCGGUAUUUUUCCUUUUCAUGCGCGAGAAUUAACACGGGAUGAACAAAGUAUUACUACUCCCACCGUGUAAACAAAUAUAAGAGCAUUUAGAUCAUUAUUUUAAUGAUCUAAAGGGAGUACAACAUGGUGAGCGUAUCUAGAUCUCCAUGAGCAUGUUUGCAAAAAUUGACCAUGAAGUAGUUAACUCUCAGAUGACUUACACAAUUAUAUAUAUUUUUAGUAGAUUAAUUCAUUUUAUAGCAUGGUAUAAACAUUAUCUUAGAUUUCUAUAAAUAAUUUUGUAAAAUCACCCGACUUAAAUCUCAGCCCAUGAAGAAACUAAUGCUCUGUAUCUAUAUAGGUGUUACUUUUAUAGAAAAUAAUAAGCUAUUUUUUGUGGUAGCCAACAAUAUACAUAUCAAUAGGCCAUAGCGAGACAUUUUGCCUUGACUUAUGUACUAGGUCGGUGUUCUGUGAUGGCUUAAAUUUGAAUAUGUGGUGCUCUCUGAGGGUGCUUGCAAGACUAAUACGUAAAAGAAAAACCUGGUCACAUCCACACGCAUGUGUAUGUGACUACAUGACUAGUUAAUUUACCUUGGACAAACUAUCACAUGAACAUAUUUGAUCACAUGCACGUUUUCAUAUCUACCGAUAGAACACGUCUCGGAAAUAUAAGAGGUAUUAAUUAAAGAUAUGUAUAUAUCUUGUGACAGAUCUGCAACGGUACAUGUUCUGUAUAUUUCAUAAAACAUCACACCAUAUCAUCAAUAUAAAGACAAGUGCCAAAAGUGCAACUGAAAACUAAAAUAAAAGGUACUCCCUCCGUAAACUAAUAUAAGAGCGUUUAAAUCACUAAAGUAGUGAUCUAAACACUCUUAUAUUAGUUUACAGAGGGAGUACAAUGCUGGGGCAUCAGCUUAACAUUAUGCCCAUGCAUCCAAAUAAAAACAACAGCUAGCUCGCGGCAGGAGGGGCGGUGACAAUCGACGUGCCACGACAUGAAACUUCCUGAUGAGAUCAUCAAUUGCGUCGCGCUCCUCGUGGUUACUAAGUAUUCUCAAUUGCUGCAAAAAGAAACGCCGACUGCCGCCCAAAUAUGUUGUGUGAAAAUUUAAAUACGUGGUGCUCUGGGGGUGCUUGCAAGACUAGUUUGUAAAAAAAAAAAAAAACUGGUCACAUCCACCUAUGUGUAUGUGACUACAUGACUAGUUAAUUUACCUUGGACAAACUAUCAGAUGAACAUAUUUGAUCACAUGCAUUUUUUCCAUAUCUACCGAUAGAACCUGUCUGGGAAAUAUAAGAGACAUUAAUUAAAAUAUGUAUAUAUCUUGUGAUAGAUCUGCAACAGUACAUGUUCUGUAUAAUAUUUCAUAAAGCAUCACACCAUAUCACCAUAUAAAGACAAGUGUCCAAAGUACAACUGAAAACCAAAAAAGGGGUACAAUGCUGGGGCACCAGCUUAACAUUAUGCCCAUGCAUCCAAAUAAAAACCUCAGUUAGCUCGCGGCGGGAAGGAGUAGCACCAAUCAACGUGCCAUGACACGAAACUUCUCGAUGAGACCAUCAAUUGAGUCACGCUCCUGCUGCUUACUAAGUAUUCUCAAUUGCUGCAAAAAAUGCAAAGUUUAUAUAUGGCAUUAGAUAAGCGAUGCAAAGGAAUGUGUUCAAUGACAAGCUAUGCCGCCCAAACCAACCCACUAGAUUUUGCAGUCGCGGUUAGAGCUAUGCAUAAUUUCAAAGAAAUCAGGAAAAUUGCACGGGCUUUCUUUCAACACACCCAACAACUUCCUUGAGGCAACUCCAAAGGAACUGUGCAGUCACACACGUGAAUAUAUGUGGUCGAAGUCAUCAUCCACAUCACACAGGGGGCAACAACCAUCAUCAGGGCCACUGCGCUUAAGCACCCGCACCCCCGAGGGAAUCCGACUACAAACAAGCUGCCAAAGAAAGAUACAUAGUUUGAAGGGGAUUUUGACAUCCCAAAUCCGAGUCGGCUCAUUAGGUCCAGGGAGGUUGCAAUGGCUUGGUAGAGUGAUAAUGUCUACUACACACUUCUAUUCUUGUAGAUUUUGUUGAGCCUCCAAGCGCAGAGUUUUGUAGGACAAUAACAAAUUUCUCUGAAGUGGAUGACCUAACGCUUAUCAAUCUUUGGAAGGUGUAGGAUGAAUUUAUUCUCCUCUCAAGAACCCUGGAAUAGGGUACAAGAAUUCUCUUGUAUCGCCAACACACUUCAUACAAUUUUCAAUCAUAUAAGUGCACUAGUUUGGCGAAGAGAUUGAUAAAUUGGAUGAUCGGUAGAUAAUAUGGCUGGUGCAAAUAUUUCUAUAUUUUCUGAACAAUUAAUAACAACAAGAUAACAAGUAGCAUACGUGACUGAAAACUAGGUGCAAUGGUUGGACACAAAAUGUGGGGUGUGUAGCUUCACUACUGUCAAUUCUCAGCAUGGUAUCUUCAUUAAAAUACAUGAAUUAAUCUCAAAGAGUUCACUUUUAUUGGGUCAAUUUGGAUGAGAUCUCGCAGGUGCACAAAUAUAAAACCACCUCAAAGUUGACUUUCUAAUCUUAAUCUAUUGAACUACCCUAAUGUCAACACAUGCAUCCUCAGAAAUCAUACUGCAACACCACCAUAUGAUCUAUAUAGUUUAAUGUUUGUUUAACGAGUCACCCCAAUAUCACUACGGGUGUCUCCAGGGAUUAUACUAGAUGUGCAUUAUGUGAUCUCAUUAUCUCCUUAAGUUCAAGAAUAUAACAUGAACAAGACUCAAAUCAUAAAGGUACUCUUCACAAGAGGUACAUCAUGCCUUUCAAUUGAUCAUCAAUGCCCAAGAUCAUAAUCAUGGUGGCAAUUCAAAAGAUCAAGAGAGAGGGCAGAGUCGGCUCUAUGUUUCGAAAAGCCCUUGGGCGAGCUCGAUGACACACACACACACACAUACACACACACAAUGUGUGUGUGUGUGUCUUCAUUUGCAUAGUAUUAAGAGUAAACUUUAAACCGAACAUUUUGUUGGACAAUACCAUAUUAUGACAAAAAGUCUAAAAAGAUAGCAAAAUGAAACUAACAUGAUCAUAUGUCUCACCAUUUGGAUUUUCAUUACCAUCCGCAAGCCAUAGAUUUUUCCUACCCCAUAUUGUUAGCAUUGACAUCAUCCUCCAAACUUAUUUGCCCCUCGUAUUUGUACCAUCUUCAUUGACCCUAGUAUCAGAAAUUUUCUACCUGAGAUUAGUUUGUUGUUAUUUUUCUUCAUUGACAUCAACAUUGCUUGAAGAUGGAAAGUAGGUUUCUAAAGGAUUCAUCUGUGAUUGAAUUUUUAGUUCGCUUUGUUUUCUUUUUAUCCUUUUUUUCAUCACUAGAAAAAUGAUUCUUAGGCAACAUUCCAAGACUGACUAAUGUUCUAAAUUAUGAACAAAAAAGAGAAUACAAAGUAUAAGAAAUUUAUCGACCGCAAUCCUAAUCAUGUCAUGUACACUGAAAUUGGGGAUGGGUGAAUACAUACUUGUGAAAGACAAGGACACUAGAAGACUAGACUGAGUGGCUGCCGGCCUAGCCGGCCGACCAAGGCAGGAGCGCAACAUGGGCAAGACGGCAAGGGCGGUACAACACACAGCCGAGACAAGAAUCGCUAGCGACAGUUGCCGGCAACGAGAGUGACGAAACAAUCAUGAUCACUAUAAAAUUUGCUCUAUUCAGUGAUAUAAACCCUGGUGACGAAACAGGAACGUCGCCUAAAAUAAUUUUCUGUGAUGGUCCACCAUCAUGAGACGUUUUCCUCCUGAGGCAGCGCCCUCGGUAACUUUGGCGACAUUCUGGCCCGAUUUUGGGCGAUGAUAUUGGGUGUCAUUAGGCAUGUCCAUUCUCCGGUACGGUUUGUAGUGUCACAGUAAAUCUUGAGCAUGCCAAUGUCUUGACAUAUAAUAAGAAAAAUAAUUGAUUGUUUCUGAAGCUGACUAAUCUAGUGUUGAAAGUCUUUGUAGAUAUUUUCUGAAAGUAGUAAAUCUACUUUCUGAUAGUGUUCCUGAAAGUUUUGGCGAACUCCUACACUAUCUAAUUUAAUUUUAAACGGGAAAAAAAUGUGUUCUUCCUGUGGCCGAAUGGAGGAAGUGGAGCAAGAUGUACAUACUGCAUUGCCAGUAUGGCAUUGAUCAGUUUUCGAUCAAACUGUCGGUACUUGUUUACUUAUAGGACGUCUAGUAGAUUCUACCGGUCCGCACGGGUCAUCUUGUCGCCUGACGAAGGGAAAGGCCACGUUUCAGUGCUGCAGUGCAUCGAUUAAUGGCGGCAGGCGCGUGCCAACUGCCAUCGGCCAUUGAUGCCACUUUUCCCCUUCGCCCGCCAACUUUUGCCGCCACUUUUUCCCGCCCGGCGACCACCGCCCGUGGCUAUAAGACCCUCACCAUGACCAAACAACUCAUCCUUUAUCUUCACAACGUCCGCAUUCAUCCACAUUGCCAUGGCCAAAUAGAUGACCGCCUCCAUGCCUAGUUAGCUCAUUCUCUUUCAGCCUCCCCCAACCCACUCCAUUGUCAUAUCUGAAUAUUCACUAUGUCCUUGAUGCUUAGCAUCCAUGAGCGGCCGGUCUUGGCACCAGUCUCGAAGGAGAUGGUCGUGAAGGAAGAACCCUUCACCAUCUUGUCACGUUGACACGAUACUAGCGCUCAUUGCUCUUUCAGGCACCACCAGCUCGCAUGUUGGAUUGCGUAAUGGAGCCAAGUGAGGUGCAGAGAAUGCUUCAUUCGGCUCCAUUACGCGGAGCAACAUGCACACUUGGUGCGCAGUUGAGGAGGCAGGUGGUUACAUGUGCAUGCCCCAUGUGCAGCAUUCACCGUCGUGGUGACAAGCACAACAACUAGUGCAGUCACUUCUUUAGGUUGGUUGACGGGGGUUGUUACAUCUUUGAUGGGCCAAAAAAACUAUUAUAGUCUUUUCCGGCGAUGUUCAUUCGAUGGGAGGACAUCUUAACAUCUACUACAAAUUGUAUGCAUGUAUUCAUGAGCAUCCGUGUCUGUACUGUCUUAAAAAAACUAGUGCAGUAAGUGUGUUUAGUAAAAAAAAUGUAGCAAAGUUUGUAUGUGCUGCAUAAGCUAUUGUGUAUAGCCUGAGAGUGCUUAAUUUACUUUCCUAUAAUACUCCCAGCAAAGUAUGACAGUGAUUGAAUAUUUAUCCAUUUAUGCAAUUCAUAUUCAUAAAGUGCUAAAACAUUUGCUCAUAAUAUUUGUCAAACUAUUGACAAAAUUAGAAACCCUUUAGUUUUUAUUUUUUUGAAGGAAAGGGACCAUGUCCCCCGAUCCAUUUUAUAAAUGAAACCAAGCAUUUAGUAAUAGAAAAACAAGCACCUUACAACUAAAGGUGAAGAAAAACAAAAUUACAGUCUUAUGGCAGAAUGCCUAAAAACGCUCUAGUCGCAGCCUAGAAGCAAAUAGUCAAAAAAGGGAGGAAAAAUUAUUACAUCAUUGUCACUAAUAGUGCUCAGUGAAGGGGAAGUUUGCCUUUUUUUAAUCAGGCAACAAACAUGUAGAGCGCAUAGAGGGCUCUCCUAGCCUUCAUCAGGGUGCUGUUGCAGGCUAUGGAGACCACCUUGAUUCAGUAUAGAGGCUGGGCUGUCCACAACGGCCCGUGCAACAAGCUUUCCUGGAGAAGUGGGGGAGCCAAAUCCUCCUUGCUCAGCACUUGCCAUAUCCAACUUGUCCCAGUUCAGCCACCUUGAUGGCUUAGAAAACCUUUAUACAUACAAACAUAUCACACGUAAGUUAAUAUACAUAUACAAACACUAAUGUUCUCUGGAAUUUAGAAAUGUAAGGAAGGGAAUUCGUAGGCAAACGUAAGAACAUAUAUGAUGUGAUUCAGAUUAUUGUUUGCUUGCAAGUGAUUUAUUGCUAUUGCUGAUUUAUUAUAUUACCGUUGAUUGCUUUCCCCGGGAUUUCUUUCCGCAGAAACGAGGAUCUGGGGGGUUGGUACACACAAUUGCAUACAUAUUGGAAAUAUGCUUCUCCACAAUUGCAUACAUAUUGGAACAAGAAUUACACAAUUUUAAAAUACUUCAUUAUCCAAACAAGCAACACAUUUGAAAGAUGAUAGUAAUAUGUAAUUUGAAACAUAUGAGUUCCUUGUCCUCAUUAUUCAAUGAUUUGCCUGAUGCGCGACCUUUUCCCACAUCAGCCGUAGAGCUCCUUCUCUUCUGCCUCGAAUUUGUUGAGGUGCUCAUUCGCGCGUCGCUGACGCGCCACCGCAAAGCCAAUGGUCAAAUAAUCAGGCGCCCACAGGGUACUCUUCCUUGCUGGCAACGUACACCCGAUCUUUCAACUUCCACACGUAGAUGAGUCACAUGGAGCCUCUGGCAUCAGGGGCCAUCAAAUUGGCAUCUUCCUCCACCCUUGGCACGAGCAUCCCACCAGAGAUCCAUUCCAAUUUCUUCGUCGCGGGCCACAUGGGCCUCCCAGGCCGCCAAACGCGCGGCUCGCUUCUCCUCCUCGGCCUUCAUUGUUGCCUGCUACUUGUGAGUUGCGUUAGAAUUUCCUCCAACAAGAGAGGAUGAUGCAGUACAUUAUAGAUAAGUACUUUUCUCAGUUAAGAACCAAUGUUAUCGAUCCAGUAGGAGAACCACGCAAGACCUCGUGAACAAUACCUACACACAAAAGAACAAAUACUUGCACCCGACGCGAUCAAGGGGUUCUCAAUCCCUUGGCGGUUAAUUGCAAGGAUCAAGUCUAAUAAUGGUAAAUAGAUAAAUUAAAACAUAAAAUAAAAUAAUGGUAAAUAAAUUGCAGCAAGGUAUUUUUAGUUUUUUAUAUAUGAUAAAGAUAGACCCAGGGUCCAUAGUUUUCUCUAGAGGCUUCUCUCUCGAAGAAAAAACAUACAGUGGGUAAAUUUUUUACUGUUGGGCAAUUGGUAGGAAAGCACAUAGUUAUGACGAUAUCCAAGGCAAUGAUCAGGUAUAUAGACAUCACGUCCUAGACAAGUAGACCGACUCCUGCAUGCAUCUACUACUAUUACACUGAUACGUCUCCGUCGUAUCUAUAAAUUUUGAUUGUUUCAUGCCAAUAUUUUACAACUUUCAUAUACUUUUGGCAACAUUUUAUAUCAUUUUUUGGGACUAACAUAUUGAUCCAGUGCCCAGUGCCAGUUCCUGUUUGUUGCAUGUUUUUUGUUUCGCUGAAAAUCCAUAUCAAACGGAGUCCAAACGCGAUAAAAAUUUACGGAGAUUUUUUUGGAAUAUAUGUGAUUUUUGGGAAGCGGAAUCAACACGAGACGAUGCCCGAGGGGCCACAAGCCCUUGAGGCACGCCCCCUACCUAGGGCGCGGCCAGGGGGCUUGUGUCCACCCCGAAGGUCGGUUGGAGAUAUCCUUUGGACGCAAGGAAGCUAUACCUGGAUAAAACCGUGUUAAAAUUUCAACCCCAUCGGAGUUACGGAUCUAUGGGAAUUUAAGAAACGGUGAAAGGCCAAAAUCUGGGAACGCGAAACAGAAGAGAAACGGAGAGACAAAUCCAAUCUCGGAGGGGCUCUUGCCCCUCCGCCGCCAUGGAGGCCAUGGACCAGAAGGAAAACCCUCCUCCCAUCUAGGGGGAGUUCAAGGAGGAAGAAGAAGGAGGGGGGCUCUCUCCCCCUCUCUCCCGGUGGCGCCGGAACGCCGCCGGGGCAAUCAUUGUGUGACGGCGAUCUACACCAACAACUCCAUCAUGUUCACCAACAUUUUCAUCACCUCCCCUCAUCUAUAUUCAGCGGUCCACUCUCCCGCAACCCGUUGUACCCUCUAAUUGAACAUGGUGCUUUAUGCUUCAUAUUAUUAUCCAAUGAUGUGUUGCCAUCCUAUGAUGUUUGAGUAGAUUUUUGUUGUACUAUCGGUGAUUGGUGAAUUGCUAUGAUUGGUUUAAUUUGCUUGUAAUUAUGUUGAUGUCCUUUGGUGCCCAUCACAUGAGCGCGCGUGUGGAUCACACCAUAGGGUUAGUUGUAUAUUGAAAGGACUAUGUAUUGGAGGGCAAGGGUGACAACAGCUUCAACCUAGCAUAGAAAUUGAUGCAUACGGGAUUGAAAGGGGACCAAUAUAACUUAAGGCUAUGGUUGGGUUUUACCUUAAUGAAUGACAGUAGUUGCGGAUGCUUGCUGGAGUUCCAAUCAUAAGUGCAUAGAAUUCCAAGUAAGGGAUGACAUGCUAGCAGUGGCCUCUCCCACAUAAAAACUUGAUAUCGGUCUAAUAACGUAGUCAAUUGCUUAGGGACAAUUACGCAACUCCUACCACCACUUUUCCACACUCGCCAUACUUACUUAAUUGUUUAUUUAUCUAAACAACCCGUAGUUUUAUUUACAUGCUCUUUGUUAUCUUGCAAAUCUAUCCUACAACACCUACAAAGUACUUCUAGUUUCAUACUUGUUCUAGGUAAAGCGAACAUUAAGCGUGCGUAGAGUUGUAUUGGUAGUCGAUAGAACUUGAGGGAAUAUUUGUUCUACCUUUAGCUCCUCGUUGGGUUCGACACUCUUACUUAUAUCGAAAGAGGCUACAACUGAACCACUACACUUGUGGGUUAUCAAGACCUUUUUCUGGUGCCGUUGCCGGGGAGCAACAGCAUGGGGUGAAUAUUCUCGUGUGUACUUGUUUGCUUUAUUGCUAAGUAGAUUUUAUUUGCUGUUCUAAGUUGUUCUCUAUCUUUAGUUAUGGAUAUGUAACACAAAAUACCAAAAAAAAUUAGGUGUACUUGCUACUCAUGGAGAUGGGAACCUCCUAAAACCCUCGAUGCUCGUUAUGUGAAAAUAUUAACACUACUUUGAUAAUCCUCAGAAACCCCCUUCCACUUGAUAAUGGGAGACACGUUUCAUCAACGUGAAUGCUUUAGGGAUUAUCGCUUGACUCUGAAAGGGAAAUUGUUAUGUGAUCAAAUUCAUAUGUUGCAUUGGCAUGCUUGGAAUUUAUGUUGGCGAUAUGAUUAUACUUGUUGCUCUAGGAUGAAGGCUCCACACCUUCCCUUUUCAUGUAGAUAAUGAAACCUUGGCUUCUUAUGCUAAUGGUACAUAUGAUUACUAUGAUGUGCAACAAACAGAAGAAUUCGUAGCUUUUAAGGGUGCUUAUUAAAUUGAAUCUUUGUUUAAAAAGUGUGAAAAGUAUGAUAAUGUUGUUUACAGACCUGAAAAUUUUGCUAUACAUAAAUAUUGCUAUGAGAUAUAAUGCUGAUAUUAAUGAGUUUAUUGAGAAAGUCUCCAUUAUCGAAGAAGAGACUAAUAUUUUGCAGGAAACUAUGGAAGAAGAAAUUCCUGACACUGCGAGCUCAUUAGAUGAAAAAGAUGAGGAGGAGAGUGAAGAACAAAAGGAGGAAGCGCGGAUUGAUCACCCGUUCCCACCUUCUAAUGAGAGUAAUUCUUUAUCCCAUACAUUGUUUAGUUUCCCUUCAUGCUUAUGAAGGAUGAAUGCUAUGAUGAUUGCUAUGAUCCCUUGGAUUUGUUUGAUAUAUCCCUUUUUGAUGAACUUGAUGCUUGCUAUGCUUGUGGCAUGAUGCCAAUAUGAAUUAUGCUUACGGAGAUGAACUUGCUAUAGUUCCUUAUGUUAAGAAUGAAAUUGUUGCUAUUGCACCCACCCAUGAUAGUCCUAUUAUCUUUUUGAAUUCUCCCAACUACACUAUAUCGGAGAAAUUUGCGCUUAUUAAGGAUUAUACUGAUGGGGUGCGUUCUACUAUUGCACAUGAUGAUUAUAAUAUAGUAUGCAUGUGCUUGCUGCUCCUACUUGCAACUAUUAUGAGAGAGGAACUACAUCUCCACCUCUCUAUGUUUCCAAUACGAUAAAAUUGCAAGAAACUGUUUAUGCUAUGUAUCGGCCAUUACUAUAUGUGCAUAAAUUAUUCUUUUAUAACGUGCCGAUGCAUAGGAAGAGAGUUAGACUUCGUUGUUUCAUGAUAUAUAUUACUUUGUGCUCAAUACUAAAUUACAAAUCAUUGUCAAUUAAAAUAGGCUUUGAUAUACCUUUGGGUCCGGGUGGAUCAAUUACUUGAGCACUAUAUGCCUAGCUUAAUGGCUUUAAAGAAAGCGCUGCCAAGGACACAAUCCGGAAGUUUUAGAGUGUCACUUAUUUCUGUUGUGUGCUUUUAUAAAGUUUAAAAACAAAAAACAUAGAGGGGAACCUAAAACUUUUCAAAAAAGAAAAGCGAAAGUAAUAAAGACGACCAUCAUUGAAGUGGGGGAGCUCCUUGAACUUUGUUCAUGCCCAUGGAAACUUUGCAAAUCUUGAAUUACAGAAACUUUUCAACAAAAAUAAUCAUCCCCUUGUACAAAUACAUUGUAUUACAAAAAUAAUGUGCCAAGAUUUGCCUUUAGGAUGAUUAGAUUGCUUGUUUGGUUUGUGCAGUGCGAAAACAGAAACUUUGGCUGUAGUCCAUGAUUUUUAGUUUUUUACUGAAACAUCAAAAGUUUCUGAAACUUUUACAUAGUAAUGCUAAGCAAAUUAUUUAUUUUUUCCUAAUUUUUCAGAUUUUUUGGAGUUAUAGAAGUAUGGUCAAUGUUCAGAUUGCUACAGACUGUUCUCUUUUUGACAGAUUCUGUUUUUGAUGCAUUGUCUUGCAUGUUUUGAUGGAACUGUGGAUUUUAUCAUUGGUAUAAGCCAUGAAGAAGUUAUAAUACAGUAGGUGUAAUGCAAAAAUCAAAUAUUAAUGGGUUUGCAACAGUACUUAAAGUGGUGAUUUGCUUUAUUAUACUAACGGAUCUCACGAGGGUUGUCACACCUAUUGUUUUGUAACAUGUCAUUUGCAUUCGUAAAGCAUGAAAAUUAGGACCAACAAAAACUUUUGCAUUUUAUUUGGCUUUUUGUUUGAGUUGGAUUUCUGUUUGUGGUUUCAUGUGCUCAUGAAGCCAUAUUCUAGCUCCACCUUCUAUACUUUGUUUCCUUGCUCUAAACUUUUGCCCCAAUGAUCAUGCCAUGUGUAUAGUACAAUAUAGUAUUUUCUUACAAAAUAAUUUGGCCAAAAAGUAUUUUCUUAAUUUAGUUUUCCAAAAACCCCUGAAUUGAGGUUUGCACUACAAGUACUUGAUUUGGGGUAUGAAAAAUCUUUCAAAGAGUAUGUUUGACUCCUAUUAGGUAUAGGACUCCCCCAAACCACAAAAAUUUAUUUUUAAAAGUUAUUUUUGCUAUUUUAUUUAAGGGAUUUUUCUUUAGGCGAGAAAUGGUCUUUAAUAGGUUAAAAUUAUUUUAGUGCUUCAAAAAUAUUUCUGAAAAUUUAGGAAAACUCAGUGGACAUAUAUUGUCCAUAUAUAAGAGUUUCUGCACAUGGUCAUGUUCAAAAUAUUGGUUAAAUCCCCCAAAACCCCUUUCUGGAUAUUUCAAGCUUUUGAAAUAUUUACAAAGGAAAUAUUCUCUAAAAAUUUCCAAGAAAAUUCUAGCAAGUCACACAUGCCUAAUGUGAUGAUCUUGCAAAGUACAUCCCAAUCAAAACAGUUUUGGUUCACAAAAGUGCCCCAAAACCCUCUCUGUCCAGAUUCAAGUUUAAACAGCUUUGCAUUGCCAACCUUUUGCAAUUGACCUCAAACCUUGUGGACAUGCUCAAAUGCCCUAAUGAUGACACUGCACCAAGUGGUGCAUCAAGGGGAAUAGUUUUGCAUGACUAGAUCUUGGUAAACUCAUUUAUUUGGAUUUCUAGGGUUUACAGAAGUUGCAUUGGCAACUUUUGCCCAAAUGGACUCAAUCUUGGUGGAACCUCUUAUUUACUCAUGCCACUUGACCCUGUCAAGCCUCAUGCCAAGAGGAGUUCACCUUCAUGCCCAAACCAGCAACAAACACCUUCCGCCAUUUUUCUAAAAACACCACUUUGACCUCUUCCACUAAUCUCCAUGAGUUCCCCUUUUACCACAGCCCCUCCUAGACCUCUUCUACCUCCAGUAACUCUCCCCUGGGAUUUUCUCAAUGAUUGAUGGGUAAAACUCCCCCAUUUACCCCCCCGGACAGCAGCUUCUCUCUCUUUCUCACCUCCCUCCUCACUCCGGUGGCCAUCCAAGUCUUCCCCCACAUUCUUUACUCCUCCCUAGAGCUACCAGACAUGCUCGGCCGUGCCCACCUUGCCAAAAAUAUGGCCAUGCCAGCCAUACAAGCGCUCUGGACCAUGCUACAGUGCGCUCCCGCACUGUAGCCGCCCCCCUGCCAACCACCUCCGGCCACCUCGCACUACUAGGGAAAACCUUAUACACAGAAUGUUACCAGUAGCGCUUGUUAAAAUGAGGCGCUACUGCUACUUAGCAGUAGCGCGUCUGGCAGAACCGAGCUACUGUUAGCCGCUUAGCAGUAGCGCGGCAGGAACAGAAAGCGCUACUACUAUAAUUGCCACACCGUUCCCGAUGUGCUAGGUAUAGUAGUAGCGGCCUUGUACGAACAGCGCUACUACUACAGAUUUUAGCAGUAACACGUUUUUCCUCCCCACGCUACAGUUAAAGCUAUUUUCACCUAACCCCCUGCGCGGCCUGAUUCCCUCUCCUCUGCUUCCUCCCCCAAUUCUCCUCUACUAUUCCUCGUCGCCUCCGCCUCACCGCCGUCUCCCCCGCCCCGCCUCGCCAUCGUCUCCCCCGACCCCGCCUCGCUGCCGUCUCUCCCGACCCCGCCUUGCCGCCGUCUCCCUCGACCCGCCUCGCCGCCGUCUCCCCCGACCCCGCCUCGCCGCCGUCUCCCCCGACCCCGCCUCGCCGCGCCUCGGUGCCGCCGUCUCCCCCAACCCCAUCUCUCUCCCAGCCCUCUGUAAGCACUCUCCCCUUCCGAUCCCUCUUCUCUGCUUAGUAUGAACCCUAGCUAUUUAGUGCUACUUAGUAUGAACCGUAGGCUAUUUUUAGUGCUAGUUAGUUAAUUACUUAGAUGGUAAUUAGGGUAGUAGUUCCUAGGUACUAAUUAGUUAGUAAGAACUAGGUACUAAUUAGGUACUAGAAUAUUUUUAGUAAGAACUUGUUUAUUUUUAGUAAGAGCUAGUUGAAUUAAUAGAACUAGUUAGUAAGAACUUGUUUCUAUUUUUUAGUUAAAGCAAUUUUUCCUGCCUCGACGUCGACGAUGCCUAUGCCGCAUCCUCGUCGUCGAGUCGGCGGAGGACGACACCUGCUUGACCAGAUCGGCCAUGUCCGGGACUGGGCUCCGCCGGGGUGGUACUGGGAGGCGCUACCUACCGGGGGGCGCAGGUUGGUGAGGAGCCAGCCUGUCGUUGACCCGAAUCUUCUUUGGUGGCGGUCGCGUGGGCCAGUGAUGAUCCAGAGGCUCGAGGACUCCAUGGAGGUGGUGCGUCACCGUGUCAGUGAGGAGGACGCGCACGUCCGUCGCUACUUGUUUGCGUUGGAGCACAGGCCGUUUUCCAAUACCUGGCAGGUUCUCCGGGGAUCUCACUGGAGCUAUGAUCCCGUGAUGGUUCCUUCUCUGUGGGUGUCCACCAACCGCGCCGAUACCCGUCGUGUGCUAGAGUUUUAGUUGUAUUAGUGAUGUUAUAUGUAUGACACUAUUCGUGAUGUAUUAGUGAUAAUAUUCGACGAUGUACGGACGCAUGAGAUGAUUUACUUUUGCUUAUUGAAUGCAUGCUAAUUUGAGUCCUAUAAGAUAUUUUGAAAUGUAUAUCUUGUGUUGCUCAAUAUCCAAGUGGCCGGUCAUGUUUGCAGGUUACACCUCUGAGUGGCCUAUGUUUUGCCGGAGUGUUGACUCAUUUCCGUUUCGGCAAAUUUCAGGCGCUCGAUAUGUCCUAUUUUAGCAAAAGGUCAUGCCGGAUUUUUUCGUGAAUUUUGGCAUGACUUGUGCCAAAAAAUGUAGGAAAUAUCGAGUGCCCCGGAUUUGUGUGUUGUUUAUCUUGGUAUUUGUCUUCGAUCGAUUUUCAAUUAAUGUUUUAACUAUGAACAUAGGAAAUGUCUGAUGACGAAAAGGAUUUCGGUAUUUGCAAAUACUGCAAAGACGAGCGCGGCCUGUGCGACGGAAUCUUCCUAGAUGAUGAUAGGCGCUCUAGCAUCAAGCUGGACGAGAACUUCGAAGUGGAUACAGUAAGUCACAAUGACAAGUCUUUUUUCGUAAUUAAGCAUGACAUCUGCUUCAUUUGCUUCAACUUAUAUUUUUUUACUAUUCUACUACCGUAUCCCCUGCCAUGCAAGAGUUUUUGUAUUGGAUAAGAUAGGUUUCAGUCAUAGUAUGGAGGAAAAGAAAGUUUACUUGAAGACUGAGCAUGGUUAUAUUUUCCAUGCAAAAUUAUACAAUUCAGACGACUACACCUAUUUUGGAUGCAAAACAUGGCGAGCACUAUGCAAGACUUAUGCAUUUGAGCCUGAUAUGGUUAUCACCUUUGAUAUUUGUCCGGAAGAUGAUAUUGAAGGUAAUACCGACAUCUGGGUCGAUGUGCAGACGCCUCCAGUUAUACCAUUAUGUAAGUUUCUCAACCAUAUUUAUGUCUUUGAUAUUGUUUAUUCAAAAAUAGUUGACAACUAAUUUGUAUUGUCAGCUUAUUUCGGUGCAAGCAAACAUGUCUAGCGCUUGGUAGACAGGACGUUAUACUGUCCUGGGGCUGAACUCAACUACGAGGAGCUCAGUCAUUAUGUUUCAUGGCUUGAGGAUCUUGAUACUGUCAAGACAAAUUUUCUUCCUGCAUUUAGAAAUGUUAGUACUGAAAAUGUGCGACCAAUAGUGUUCGUAAUGAACUACGGUCACAUCUAUUUAGGAAGGAUGGUAAGAUUUUUACUAUUUGUCAUCAGUGCAUCUUUUCCAUACAUUAUUUUUGAAGCUAAACUUCAUUGCUAAGUAUGUUACCGUACGAUGUUCUUCAAUAGGGGAUCCCGAUGAAUGUUGUGCCUUAUGAGAUCGAGACUAAAGGUACCAUGAGUAUUAUCAGCUUACGGCCAAGAUAUCCUACAGAUUACUUUAGUGCAUUCAAGAUUAGCGACGGAUGCUUAAUAGUGCAAGACUGGACCAAAUAUGUGAUGGGGGAGCACAGAGAAGUACUAGGGGGCAGAAAACAGAUGUGCUACCCACGAUUAGGAGACAGGUUCAUCUGCAUGCUCCAGUUUGAUCAAGGAGGAGAGCUAUACAUGUUUUAUGUUAUUUUACCUAAGAGAGAGCAACAGGAGUGAUUAGCUAGCUAGAAAUGAGUUUGAGGAUGAUGAUGUGCUACACUAUUACUAUGAUGAUAAAAUAGCUAGUGUUGGUGGUAAUGACUAUGAUGAUUAUUAUUAGCUAGUGUUAGUGGUGAUUAAAUAAAUACUGUUGGUGGUAAUGACUAUGAUGAUGAUUAAAUAGCUUGUGCUGGUGGAUUAGAUUCAAGUGGAGGCAACAUGUGGUGCACAUCGAAAGUACUACUAGUCCAAACUAGAUCAAGUUUGGAUUAGUAGUAUACUUUUGACAUGCACCACAUAUUGCCUCCACUUGAACCUAAUCCACCUUCAUUUGACACACUGUUAUGGACAUAAUGAUGUAAACCUCAUAACUGGUAUUGUACCAAUAUUUGUACGAUGGCGCAUAAAUACACUAAAAAAAAUACUAGUAGCGAUGGACAGAAAACACGCUGCAAGUAGUUACCUUAGUAGUAGCGUGGUUCUGAAUAAAUACUACAGCUAUUUGUCCUAGCAGUAGCGCGUGCGGGCACGCGUUACUGCUAAGCAAUAGCUGUAGCGCCUUAUUAGUAGCGCGGCCUCCCGUGCUACUAGUGGACACAAAACCCGUGCUACUGCUAGGGUUUUCCCUAGUAGUGUCGGGCCUCCCCAGCGCGCCCGACAAUGCGUCUCGGCGUCUGCAGCACACUACGCCCUGCCCCCUCUUCCUUCUCCCUCCUCCUGCCCCUGCUCGCACGCACGCCGGCCGCCCGAGAGUGCUAGUGAACGGGCUCACACGCGCGGUGCCCCUGGCCCUCUUCUUGCUCUCUCUCUCUCUUCACCCACUCGCUCUAGACUAACCCCACGAGCACCCCAGACACGUACAAUCGGGCUCCCGUGACCCAUGGCGACGUCAACGAGCUCGCCGGCGCACGAGUCCUCGGUGGACCAUCGCCCACCUAUAUAUUGGCCUCCCCGUGCCGUUCUCUCCCCACCACUCGCUCUCUACACCAUCCAGUCCACCCCAUGCACCUGUAGUUCGUCUCCAGGAGCACCCGGGCUCGAGAUCGAGCUCGAGCUUCACCGCUUCGGUUCGCUGGAGUUCGCGAGUUACAGGCUUCCCCCGCUCCUCCUCUGCCCAAAUCUGAAACUGCCACCUCCCACUGAUCAUUUCCCCUCUCUCCCCGCCUCAUUUGCAGCCGGAAUCGACCGGAACGACCACUGCCCCAUGCUCCUCUGCCAUGCCUCCUCGUCGCUGGCGAACCAGGCAGUUCCGGCGAUGUCCAUUGUGUUACGGGGCUAACCCGGUGUAGGCCGAUCUUUCACAUUUGGAGUGGGAUCCCUCGAAGAACACGAUGAACACGGGGAAGAACGGGGAGAAAUCACAAGGGGAAACACUCAAGAACAAGUCCAAAUCACACAUCCACUAGACAAUCACACACACAAGAUCACAAGGUACAUGAACAACAAAGGGAAAGAUACAAGGUAAGGUUCAUCUCCAAGAGGAGGUCUUGAUGAUAUCCUAGAUGGAUCUUCCCACAAGGGGGUCUUGAUGAUAUCCCGCAUGAUCUUCUCACAUGGAGGUCUUGAACUCCAUGGGAGUGGUAGUCUCUCUCUCUCAAGAGUAUAGGUAGGAGCAAAGCUCACCUAAGAAUGAGCUAUCAUAUUUGCUAACCCUAACUAGAGGAAGGGGAUGGAGUAUAUAUAGGCUAGUCCACGAAGGGGUAAGUGAGGAGGGGAUACAUGGGCCUUUGGCCCGACUCUGCGCGUAGGCAGGCGCCGGAUGUCCGGGCUGGGGGCCGGAUGUCCGGGCUGGUGAGGUCGGCGUCGGUGCUCUCUGGAUAGGGGCGUCGGAUUUCCGGGCUUAUGGUCGGAUGUCCGGGCUGUCGGGAGGCGCCGGAUGUCCGGGCUUGCGGGCCGGAUGUCCGGGGCCUGUAGGUACUUGGUGGCUGGGCGGCUGCUGUGGGUGAUGCUCCAGGGGCCGGAUGUCCGGGGUCCUGGCCGGAUGUUCGGGUCCUGGGGGUUGUCUUCGUCUUCUUUCGUUGUCUCUUCCAGGCUUCCCUUGCGGAUGUUGUAGUUGUUCCUUGGCGCUUGCACUCCUCCUCAACAUCCGUGAAGCUCCGACAAUACCUAUGCGUGCACACGGGAUAAGUGUCAAGUAGUAUACCAUCCUCGAAGGGGUCAAGUGAGCACGUAUAAAGGAGAAGAUUCACCUUUGAGUAUGUGAAGUAGAGGUCGCACGUGUCACUUGCCAAACGGACUCUUGACAUGGUGAUGACCGUAGGAUGCUCCACAUCAUCCCCUCCCCCUUGGAAAAGAUCCGACUUCGGAUCGAAAACCAAAUCACCAUGGGAAAGAGAUGGCGGUGCCGUGUCGAAGUGGUCGGUCACCAAGCACUCAUCAUCUUGAAACUCAAAAUGGGCACUCUCCAAUGUCGCACCGUCUAGUGAUUCCUUCAAAAGAAGCAAGAACAACAAACACUUGGAAAAACAAAUGUGGUUAGCGUUAGUGCAAAACCAAGCAUUCAAGAGGUGAUUCACCAAACAAGUGUCGUCAUCAAGCAUAGCAUCGGGUGUGACAAAGGAUUGUGACAUGGCAUGUAAGCAUAUCAAUUGAGCACAAGCAAAGAUAUCAUGGGGACAAGUAUGCAAAUGUGAGGUAGUGAUGCAAAUAUGUGUGAGUAGAGAAUAAGCAUCUACCUCAAGUUCAUAGCAAGCAUUCACAAAUUGCUCAAUGAAAGGUCUAUGGUAGGCAUAAGAAUCAUUCACAACACCAAAUAAAAUGAAGUGUCUAAACACAUGGGACAAGUGCAAGACAAUCCAAGCAUAACGUGCAUAGGGUGUAGCGAAUAUAGUGUGGCACUCAACACAAUAGAAAGAGAAAUUGUUCAUCAUGUGUGAGGCAAUCAAGUCAAGCAUGUGAGAAGCAAUGGGACAUGGCAUAUGUGAAGAAAUGAUAUUGGUGCAACCAACCAUAUGAUAGUAGCAACACAAGGUAUAUAUGUCAUGAAGCAUGGAAAUGUGGCAAUCAAAGGUGAAAGCUAUAUCUCGAACAUGCGUGCAAAUGGUGCAAGCAACACAUGAAGUAUGAUCCACAAUAUCCAAGCUCAAGAAGGAUGUCACCUUGAAAGCAUUUCCUUGUGCAUUCUUCACAUUGUCGAAGUGGUAGGAAGUAUGGUGUAGAAGCGAGUCGUGGUAGAAUAUAUGAGGCUCGCUCUCAAGAGCUCGAAUGGUCAACUCACGUGAAGUGGAAGUCGACACAAAGUCUAAGUAUCCUACACAUGCACAAAACAAAACAAAGAACGUAUACGCAUGGUAGAUAAACACAUCAUCCAUCAUGAUGGUUCUCAUCUUUUGCACAAAACCAUUAGAAGCACAAGUGCAUGAAUAAUAUGAUGCAACAAUGGCUAAAUUCAUGGCACUAGGUAUAUGGUGCAAAGAAGUAAGACAAGCAUGCUUCACAAGAAUUAUGUCAAAAUCUCCAAAUAUAUGCGAGAAUGCUAUGGGGGCAAUCUCAUGAGCAAGAAGAGAAUCAUUGUUACACUCAAUACAUGGCAAAUCUAGCAUGAGAGAUGCAACACAUGGAGAUAUAUGACAAGAAGCAAUAUGAUUCAUGUGCAAAGCAUAUAGAUGGUUGUCAUCAAACGCAUGAAAUGAGCAAGUAUGAAUCAUUGGUGAUGCAACAUAAGCAAGCAUAGUAAUCAAGUCGUGGAAACUAGUGGAGCGAAGAUGCAACACACUAGAAUAAAUCAUGGCAAUCAUGUCAUGUGAGCAAAUAACAGGCAUAGGGAAUGCACAUGACAUAUCGCAAGCACAAACAUAAAGCAAGAUGAAAGUAUCAUCAUAGGAAUGGUGCACAAAAGGAACAUGGCAAUAACAAGCAAUAUCUCCACCAAGCUGGCAAAUACACAUACAAGUACUAGAAUCAAUCAUCAUGUGUAAUGCAAAGCAUGGGUCACAAAUGCAUGUCAAAGGCAUAGGAAUGAGCAUAUCAUGCAAAGUGAACAUGGCAAGAUGGGCAUAUGAUAUGUCAUGGACAAUAACCCAUAGCCAAGUGAGGGCCAUGUAGAAGAAAUGUGUGAAGUCUUUGCGCGAAGAGAGCGGUGGGAAAGACAAUCCAUGGCUUCCCAAAUCAUCGUUGCUCUCUAGAGCUCGUUUUGUCAACUCGUGGGAUUGAGAGGUUGACAAGUAUUCAUGGGUACCUACACGAAAGAGACAAAAACCAAAGAAAUUGUGCGCAUGGUAAAUGUACACAUCAUCCAUCAUGAUGUGUAUGUGCACAUGUGAGUUAGCACAAGAUAAGCAUCGCUCAAAGAAAUUUGAUGCAUGGUAUAAGAACAUGUCAUCCAUCAUGAAAGAAUAGUUAUUGUGUAUACACGAUGGGGACACAAAUUGAGAAUGCAAGUAUAUGACACAUCAAUAUCAUGUUUAAUCAUGGGGAGCAUAUGGUGCACACAAGUAGUGGGAUCAUGCAAUGAAUGGGAUGGAUCAAAAUCUCCUAAAAUGCAUGAGGAAACUAUGGGGGUCUCCUCAUGAGCAAUAUCGUAAACAUCAUAUGGUGAAAAUGGACAACAUCCAAAACAAUGCAUAUCCGAAGCUAGGAUGUCAUGGCAUGGCAUAUAAGAUAAAUUAUGCAAAGGUAGCAUAUCAAUAGCAUCACAAGAAAACAAAUGCCAAUAACCAUGGGCUUGUCAUCUAUGCCAUAUGUGCAAAUUGGGUUUAUUUUAAUGGCAUAUGCAUAGUCACUAUGAAGAGAUUGCAAAUAAGACAUAUGGUUGAUCUCAUGCAUAGCAUAUGACAAGUCAAGCGGAUUAUCAAACAUGAUGUGACCUAAAGAAUUGUCACAAGAAAUCCUAUGUAACAUGACAUCACUACUAAUAGACUCCACAAGAGAAUCAUCAUACACAUCAUAAAUGGGCAAAUCAUCGCAUGGGGAAAUCAUACUAGCAUGAAGCAUGGUACUAGGUGGAUCAACAUCAUGCAAGCAAUCAAUGUCACGAAUGUCCACUAGUGGGACUAGAGCAUCACCUUCACCUAUGUUACCUUUUCCAUUCCACUCAAGUGGUGUAGGUGAGGUGGGAAAGACCAAAUGGUGGUCAUCAUCAUCAACUUGAUGGAACCUUGUGGGGUGUGCAUCAUAUUCCACCAUGGCCACCGUCUUGUCCAAAGGAAGGACGAAGUCGUCGAGUAUCGGCACGUCAUCAUAAAUGGGACCUAGCAUGAAAUGAGAAGACACAAUAGAGGUAGAGGUCAAGUUGUUAGAAAUGCAAAUGGCCUCACUAGACCUAUCAACUAUCUCACUUUCUCUAUGUGGUGGUUCACUCACUCCCUCGAAGUAGGUGCACUCAAAGUCACAUAUGGUGGAGUCACUCAUCUCACCCAAGUGGUGGGGUUUGUGGUUCUCCUCACAUGAGAAUUGUGGCAACUCAUCAUAUAUGGGGCUAGUGGUGAAGUCACUCUCACUCUCAAUAUGGUGGCACAAGUCACUCAAGUCAUCAUACGUCGCCGUGGUCGAGGUGAAAUACUCAACCAUCUCAUCGCCGUCGCCAUGGAUGAAGGCCGAAGAUGGCAUAUCAUCACUCUCCUCCAUGACCGAAGGGAAAAUCCCAUGCUCGAUCAUCUCGUCACCGUCGCCGUUGAUGAAGGCCGAAGAUGGCACAUCAUCACUCUCGCCUCCUAAGAUGGAAGCAUCAUCCUUGCUCGCCACCUUGUCCCUUGCCUCCAAAGCUUGGUCCUUGAAGGUCUCCGUAGUCAUACUUGUCGCCGCACCAUCUUGAAAAAGAGUUAAGGUAGACUCGGCAUCAUCAAUGCCACAAAGAGAGAUGGCGGUGAAGUCGCAUUUGGUAGCAUCGUCUUGGAGCUUGUCGGGCUUGGACAUCGUGGUGGUACUAGCCUCAUGCUUGUCGUAGAGCUUGGUCACCGCGAAGUUUGCUUGGGGUGGAGAAGCCUUGGCCUUCAUGAGUUCUUGUUCCUCCUUGAGAGCACCAAUGUAGUAGUCGUCGAUGGAGUUGUAGUUCUCGAGGAAGAUGGUCUUGGAGAUGUUGUUGUGCAAUCCCAUCAUGAAGUGGAACUUCAUCGAAAUGGGGUCGUCCACGCCGGCUCGUCGCAAGGCAAUCUUCAUCUCCUUGAAGUACUUGUCGAUGGACUUGGAUCCUUGGAUGGUAUUCUCCAAUUGGCGUCGAAGUUGUUCCGUGUAGGUUGGAGGCACGAACUCUCACCGCAAAGCUCUCUUCGUCUUGGCCCAACUCAUGUCGUAGUACUCUGAAGGUGUGUGAAGCCACCAUGUCGAGGCGUAGUCGUGGAAAUUUCUUGUGGCACACUUCACUUGAUCUUCGGGAGGAACUUGAUGUAGCUUGAGGUAGUCGUCCAUUAAGCGCUCCCACUCGAGAUACUCCUCGGGUUCAUGAGUCCCAUAGAAAGGAAUCGCAUGGUCGAUGUCGAGGUCGUAGUAGUUCGUGGAAGUCGUGAACUUGAGCUUGGGGAGCUUCUCUUGAGCGUAGCCUUGAGGUUCUUGUUGGCGAAGAUGCCGUAUGUCCGUAGGCGAAGAUGCCUUGAAGUCGCUUGGCGAAGAUGCCAAGGGAGAUGGUGAAGUUGUUGAGCGGUUGUUGGUGUUGAGCUCUUGACCUUCACGUUCUUGUUGGUGAUAGUGUCGAUGCCGAUGUGAUCUUGCCGGGGAUGGUAGCUCGGAAGCAUGUGCUCUUGAGCGUCUUCUCGAAGAUGAGGAAGAUCGCUUGUAGGACUUGAUGAGGGCUUUGAUCUCCUCCAUUUGAGCUUGCAUCUUGGCGUUGGAGUUGUUGUUCGUGGCAUCGAACUCGUCGUUGUUGUUCUAGACCGAAGGUGAAAUGCCUUGCCUAUCCAUCACAAGACUCGAGUAGAGGUGAGUAGGAAAUGAGAUAAAAAAUACCAAGUUACCUUUUCCCAAAGUUGAGGAUGUAUCCCGUUUCACUCAAUGUGAGAUGAAAGAAUAGUGGAAUUGGUACCAGACUUGUUCACUCACACCUAUCAAGUAAAGCUUAUGGUAGAGCUCGGUGAGGAUAGUGGCACAAAAAUUUGAUGCAAAAUGUUAGCAAGAGUCAAUAAUGUUGAAAGAGAUUCACAAAUUCGCAAGCGAAACAAGUAGACCAAUAGCAAAGAAUGGCACACGGAAACGCACACACGGAUAGAUAAAUGGGGUCGUGCAACCAAGGAAUGAGCACAAAAUGUGGAAUCCAUGGAAAACGCUCGUGUUGCACAACUCAAGAGAGACGCUAGCACGAUUGCUGAAUAGGCGGAUACGACACUUGUGCACAACCUAUGAUAUGCAAAAUGGAUAAACUUUCUAUCCCAAGUAUGCUAUGUAUGUAUGGUUCCCGGUGUUUCUCACACAAUGAUCCAAGAUGAUCAAAUAUGAUACCAUAUGCUAUAUUGUGAUGCUAUGGCUAUUGCUUACAAGCUCUUUGCUUACUCUUUUUCUUUGCUUAAAAGCUUUAUUCUCUUUUUUUUGAUAUGGCCAAUUUUUGCACAAUGCACAAACCAAGAUAGCAAUUAUAUAUAUGCGGGAACAAGCUUGUGACACAAUAGAUGAUAUGAUGAUACCAAUAUGAUAUGGUAUGUAUGCUAUGGGAAGUAUGAUCACUAAUGUGCACAAGUCACGUUGCCGGCAAUACUCAAAUGGCUAGUCUCGAUAGGCAAGUAACGCAAAAUGGGCUAAGGGGGUUAUCAAUGCAAUUGCAAGGGUAAUAUACAAUGGUGUUGUCGAGGUUACCGUCCUUGAUGAUGAUGAGUGGCAGUGUUUUUGAUGUAGAUACCAAGAUGAUGGAGACUCGUCCCUAAGUAGCCGAAACACCUUAGGAAACGGAAAAACCGCGAACUCAAAAUCUCAAACGUCAAAUGUCAAAGUGGUGGUAGCGGAAAGCGGUGGUGGUUUGCACUUGGCAAUGCAGAAGUGAAAUGAUUGGCUAUACACGGUGUAAGAGUUGGAAGAACGCGGUCCCUAAGUAGCCGAAACACCUUAGGAGACACAACUCACAACACAAACAAAAUUGGGUUAAGUUGGGGUGGCGGAAGUGUAUGGUGGUCACGCCUAUGCGGAAGUAUAGGUGGUGGUUGAUGAAGAAGCAAUCGUCCCUAAGUAGCCGAAACACCUUAGGAGACUCGAAUCACUACUCAAGCAACCACUAAUUCUAUGGGGAACAAAAUGGGUUAGGUUGCGGAAGUCGGUGGUGGCUAUGCGGAUGAUAUGGUGGAGGGCCUAGGCAAACUUGCCAAAUUUUGGAAAUUUUGAUGGAGUAAAAUUGUGUUGGUGGUAUCUUUGUGAGAUGGGGGAUGUCAAUAGCUUCAAAACGAGCUAAAGAACGUCAAAAUCGGACUCCGGAUGAAUUAGUUAUGGUCAAAACAGUGAAACGGAAAAAGCUGAAAUCCCAGGGGCCGGACAUCCGGGGCUCGGGCCGGAUUUCCGGGACCUGAAGUCCAGAACCGCGCGCGAAAAUGCGCUCCAGGAGCCGGAUGUCCGGGCUAAUGGCCGGAUUUCCGGGAUGGCCGGAUGUCCGGGGGUCGGGCCGGAUGUCCGGGCUCCAAAUCCGAGGAUGAACUCGAGGAACUCGAUUUUGGGGCGGAAGUUGAUGAUUUCGGGGGCAAAAUUGGAGAGAUUUCGUGGAUAGAAAGGUGGGGAAACAUGGGGGAAAGCUAGAUCCACUUGAAACCAAGCAAAUCCACGAAUCAAAAUGAACAAAACAUCAUCAAACCAACAAAUCACAAAAAAAUUUGGGGGCUAUUUUUGGUGGGGAUUUUCGGAUUUAGGACGAAAUCAAGCUAGAAAACAAAGGGUAGGGAGUCCAAAUACGUGAUAAACGUGGCUCAUGAUACCAUGUUACGGGGCUAACCCGGUGUAGGCCGAUCUUUCACGUUUGGAGUGGGAUCCCUCGAAGAACACGAUGAACACGGGGAAGAACGGGGAGAAAUCACAAGGGGAAACACUCAAGAACAAGUCCAAGUCACACAUCCACUAGACAAUCAAACACACAAGAUCACAAGGUACAUGAACAACAAAGGGAAAGAUACAAGGUAAGGUUCAUCUCCAAGAGAAGGUCUUGAUGAUAUCCUAGAUGGAUCUUCCCACAAGGGGGUCUUGAUGAUAUCCCGCAGGAUCUUCUCACAUGGAGGUCUUGAACUCCAUGGGAGUGGUAGUCUCUCUCUCUCUCAAGAGUAGAGGUAGGAGCAAAGCUCACCUAAGAAUGAGCUAUCAUAUUUGCUAACCCUAACUAGAGGAAGGGGAUGGAGUAUAUAUAGGCUAGUCCACGAAGGGGUAAGUGAGGAGGGGAUACAUGGGCCUUUGGCCCGACUCUGCGCGCAGGCAGGCGCCGGAUGUCCGGGCUGGGGGCCGGAUGUCCGGGCAUUCGCGGGAGGCCGGAUGUUUGGGGCAUGGGCCGGAUGUCCGGGCUGGUGAGGUCGGCGUCGAUGCUCUCUGGAUAGGGGUGUCGGAUUUCUGGGCUUAUGGCCGGAUGUCCGGGCUGUCGGGAGGCGCCGGAUAUCCGGGCUUGCGGGCCGGAUGUCCGGGGCCUGUAGGUACUUGGCGGCUGGGCGGCUGCUGUGGGUGAUGCUCCAGGGGCCGGAUGUCCGGGGUCCUGGCCAGAUGUCCAGGUCCUGGGGGUUGUCUCCGUCUUCUUUCGUCGUCGCUUCCAGGCUUCCCUUGCGGAUGGUGUAGUUGUUCCUUGGCGCUUGCACUCCUCCUCAACAUCCGUGAAGCUCCGACAAUACCUAUGCAUGCACACGGGAGAAGUGUCAAGUAGUAUACCAUCCUCGAAGGGGUCAAGUCAGCACGUAUAAAGGAGAAGAUUCACCAUUGAGUAUGUGAAGUAGAGGUCGCACAUGUCACUUGCCAAACGGACUCUUGACAUGGUGAUGACCGUAGGAUGCUCCGCAUCACAUUGCCACCACCUGAACGGCGACUCCAUGUUGAGUCCAACCGUGCCGUCAACUCACUCUGCCGUUCCCUGCAUCGUCGCCGCUGAGCUCGCCGGCCCUCAGGUCGCGAGGUUAGUGAUGACAGGCGGGCACCGCAUGUCAUCCUCACCUCCCCCUCGCCUCCCUCUCUCUCACUGGUGCCUAGGCCCCGCCCGUUAGGUUCAAACUUGGCACGCACGCCGCUCGGCUCGCCCGGGUCGAAUCCCUUCUGGGCCUUUGCACUGCGGCUGCUCUGGCCCAGUUGCACAGUGCCCUUUCUCCUUUUUCUUUUCUGUGUAUUUUCAAAAUAUUCCACAGGAUAAAAUAUUUAUCCAAAUGCAAUUAUUCCAACUCCUAAAAUCUUAGAAUAAUCCCACCUAUUUAUUGAUGUAACUUUCAUACAUAUCCAUCAAACUUUUCUGCACUGUUCAAAUUUGGGCAUUUAAAUCCUUCUUUGAAAAUCUGUUACUCUGUCCCUUUAGCCUCAAAUCCAAAACUAAGAAUUUUCCCCUUCUUAGUUUUCACCCUAGUAUUUAACAAAAAUAAGUUGACAUUUUUCUGAGCACUUUGGUUUUUCUGUUUUACUAUUGCCUUAUUUUCUCAUUGUUGUUUUGCGGUGAUAGAUUGCAUUGUUGACGAAGGAGUUGGACCAGAAGACUUUGAAGACCCCUUAGACUUUUCUGAGCCAGGCAAGUAGCCCUUUGACCAUUUCUAUGAACCCUUUUUAAAUGCAUGUCAUAUAGCACUUUUUAUCGCUACGUUGGAAUCAUAAUGAGGUGAUGACCACCUUGGUGGGUUGCCUCUGAUACUUUCCUCGUUGGUACUUGCAUGGUGCAUAACCCUACCUUUCUAUGAAGGUGAUGCGGGUGGGAGUAGAUAGGAUGCAAAGUAGUGGCUACGCAAAUGGGAUGGGUAUAUGCAUGGUGAUGGAGACAAAAGUAUCUUUUUAAAAGACUUAUCAAAUACCCCGUCGGGUGCCACUAAUGCCCGAGGGAGAUGCUGAGCUAAGUAACCACUUGAUGACGAAGUGGUGUACCGAGGCAAGUGUGUGUGUUGCUUUUGAAAAUGGAUUGUUUUAAGUUGCGACCGUUACUCCAACCUUACAUGCGCAACCACUCUACCCUUAUAUGGGAAAGGGAAUUAUUGAUUACCUAGACCAUUACUAGCAUGGUGCCCGCAUUACUAGUGACGGGAGUGACACGAGGUCACUCUCGGGACGGUGUCAUGCUUGGAUAGGCGGCCAUGACUGUUUUUACAGGGCACCAGACACACCGUUGGUACCCCGUGCUUAUGGUUGGUGAUGAAUAUGGGAGCCUGGAUCCACAAAAUUUAUGAUGUGAAAUGUUGGGCAUGAGGGUUGUUACCAAUCGUGUGGACUCUAUGUUAGUCGCGGCUGGGGAAAGGUAGUGACUGGGUGCUUCCCCCGAGUACUUGAGGUACUGCUGGAUUGUGGUUGACACGAAAGCUUCCCGGAUCUUGUGGGUAAAGUGUGCAACCUCUGCAGAGUGUAAAACUAUUCGAAUAGCCGUGUCCACGGUCAAGGAUAGUUGGGUAACCGCUCUUGGGCUACGUCCACCUGUUUACAAAACAUUGUGAGUAUGUACGGUUAAGUGGUGAGAACUACCCAGGUCACGUCCAAGGACUUGGCAUGAUAAUUAAGUUGGAUUGUUUCCAACUCUAUUUAUGUUGAUAUCUGUAACCUGUUCUCAAGGUUACUAGAAAUUCUCAUGAUGUAUGUCAUACAUGUUGUUGAACAUGUCAUAGCUCUUAAAACUAGCUUUCUACAAAAAUUUACCUAUAUCAUGCAUGGUUGUACCUUGAACCAAAACAUGGGUUGCUUGCGAGUACAUUCAAAGUACUCAUUGGCUUGCCACUGGUUAUUUAAUUGGCCAGGCAUGGAAGAACAUGAUUUUGAGGAAUUUGGCGACGAACAUGCAAACUAGGACAUUUUCCUGUGAGAAUCCCUGCAGGGUUAAGUGAUAUGUCUCCAACGUAUCUAUAAUUUUUGAUUGUUGCGCGCUAUUAUAUUAUCUGUUUUGUAUGUUUAAUGGGCUUUAUUAUGCACUUUUAUAUUAUUUUUGGGACUAACCUAUUAACCGGAGGCCCAGUGCAAAUUGCUGUUUUUUGCCUAUUUUAGUGUUUCGCAGAAAAGGAAUAUCAAACGGAGUCCAAACGGAAUGAAAACUUCGGGAGAAUCAUUUUUGGAACAAACGCAAUCCAAGAGACUUGGAGUGGACGUCAAGGAAGCAACGAGUCGGCCACGAGGUAGGAGGGCGCGCCCCCACCCUCAUGGGCCCCUCGUGGCUCCACCGACCUACUUCUUUCACCUAUAUAUACUCAUAUACCCCGAAAACAUCCAGGAGCACCACGAAACCCUAUUUCCACCGCCGCAACCUUCUGUACCCGUGAGAUUUCAUCUUGGGGCCUUUUCGAUGCUCCACCGGAGGGGGAAUCGAUCACGGAGGGCUUCUACAUCAACACCAUAGCCUCUCCGAUGAUGUGUGAGUAGUUUACCAUAGACCUUCAAGUCCAUAGUUAUUAGCUAGAUGGCUUCUUCUCUCUCUUUGGAUCUCAAUACAAAGUUCUCCUCGAUCUUCUUGGAGAUCUAUUCGAUGUAAUACUUUUUCGGUGUGUUUGUCGAGAUCCGAUGAAUUGUGGGUUUAUGAUCAAGAUUAUCUAUGAACAAUAUUUGAUUCUUCUCUGAAUUCUUAUAUGUAUGAUUUGAUACAUUUGCAAGUCUCUUCGAAUUCUCAGUUUGGUUCGGCCUACUAGAUUGAUCUUUUUUGCAAUAGGAGAAGUGCUUAGCUUUGGGUUCAAUCUUGCGGUGUCCUUUCCCAAUGAUAGCAAGGGCAGCAAGGCACGUAUUGUAUUGUUGCAAUCGAGGACAAAAAGAUGGGGUUUAUAUAAUAUUGCUUGAGUUAUCCCUCUACAUCAUGUCAUCUUGCUUAAUGCCUUACUCUGUUCUUAUGAACUUAAUACUCUAGAUGCAUGCUAGAUAGUGGUCGAUGUGUGGAGUAAUAGUAGUAGAUGCAGAAUCGUUUCGAUCUACUUGCCACGGACGUGAUGACUAUAUACAUGAUCAUGCCUAGAUAUUCUCAUAACUAUGCUCUUUUCUAUCAAUUGUUCGACAGUAAUUUGUUCACCCACCGUAACAUAUGCUAUCUUGAGAGAAGCUACUAGAGAAACCUAUGGCCCCCGGGUCUCUUUUCCAUCAUAUUAUAUCUCUUUUAUUUACAUUGCAUCUCGUUUACUAUUUUGCAAUCUUUACUUUUCAAUCUAUACAACAAAAAUAUCAAAAAUCUUUAUCUUCUUAUCUCUAUCAGAUCUCACUUCUGCAAGUGGCCGUGAAGGGAUUGACAACCCCUUUAUCACGUUGGUUGCAAGGUUCUUAUUUGUUUGUGCAGGUACAAGGCGACUUGCGUGUAACCUCCUACUGGAUUGAUACCUUGGUUCUCAAAAACCGUGGGAAAUACUUAUGCUACUUUACUGCAUCGCCCUUUCCUCUUCAAGGGAAAACCGACACAUGCUCAAGAGGUAGCAAGAAGGAUUUCUAGCACCGUUGCCGGGGAGGCUUACGCCAAGUCAAGUCAAGAUUUGAUCUCUCGACAACUCGUCGAUUUCUGGCAUCAUUGCCGGAAAGAUCUACGCACAAGUAAAGACAUACCAAGUACCCAUCACAAACUCUUAUCCUUCGCAUUACAUUAUUUGCAAUUUGCCUCUCGUUUUCCCCUCCCCCACUUCACCCUUGCCGUUUUAUUCGCCCUUUUUCCGUUCGUCUCUUUUUGCCUGCUUCUUGUGUGCUUGUGUGUUGGAUUGUUUAUCACUAUGGCUCAAGAAAAUACUAAAUUCUGUGAUUUUUCCAAUACCAACAACAAUGAUUUUCUUAGCACUCUGAUUGCUCCUAUUACCGAUGCUCAAUCUUGCGAAAUUAAUGCUACUUUAUUGAAUCUUGUCAUGAAAGAUCAAUUCUCUGGCCUUCUUAGUGAAGAUGCCGAUAUACAUCUAAACAACUUUGUUGAUUUGUGCGAUAUGCAAAAGAAGAGAGAUGUGGAUAAUGAUAUUGUUAAAUUGAAGUUAUUUCCGUUUUCGCUUAGAGAUCGUGCUAAAACUUGGUUCUCUUCUCUGCCUAAAAAUAGUAUUGAUUCAUGGAGUAAGUGCAAAGAUGCUUUUAUCUCUAAGUAUUUUCCUCCCGCUAAGAUCAUCUCUCUUAGAAAUGAUAUUAUGAAUUUUAAGCAACUUGAUCAUGAGCAUGUUGCACAAGCUUGGGAGAGGAUGAAACUAAUGAUACGUAAUUGCCCUACACAUGGUUUGAAUUUAUGGAUGAUUAUACAAAAAAUUUACGCUGGAUUGAAUUUUGCUCUAGAAAUCUUUUAGAUUCGGCCACGGGAGGCACUUUUAUGGAAAUCACUUUAGGAGAAGCUACUAAACUCCUAGAUAGUAUUAUGGUUAAUUAUUCUCAAUGGCACACCGAAAGAUCUACUAGUAAAAAGGUUCAUGCAAUUGAAGAGAUCAAUGAUUUGAGUGGAAAGAUGGAUGAACUUAUGAAAUUGUUUACUAAUAAGAGUGUUUCUUAUGAUCCUAAUGAUAUUCCCUUAUCCACUUUGAUUGAGAAUAAUAAUGAAUCUAUGGAUGUGAAUUUUGUUGGUAGGAACAAUUUUGGUAACAACACGGAUAGAGGAAACUUUAAUUCUAGGCCAUUCCCUAGUAAUUCCUCCAAUAAUUAUGGUAAUUCCUACAACAAUUCUUAUGGAAAUUUCAAUAAGAUUCCAUCUGAUUUUGAGACUAAUGUUAAAGAAUUUAUGAUUUCGCAAAAGAAUUUCAAUGCUUUGCUUGAAGAAAAAUUGCCUAAGAUUGAUGAGUUGGCUAGGAACGUGGAUAGGAUUUCUCUUGAAGCUGAUUCUUUGAAACUUAGAUCUAUUCCACCUAAGCAUGAUAUCAAUGAGUCUCUCAAAGCCAUGGGAAUUUCCAUUGAUGAGUGCAAACAAAGAACCGCUAGGAUGCGUGCUAAAAAGGAUUGCUUUGUGAAAGCGUGUUCUUCUAGUUUUCAUGAUAAUAAGGAUGAAGAUCUGAAGGUGAUUGAUGUGUCUCCUAUUAAAUCUUUGUUUUCCAAUAUGAAUCUUGAUAAAGAAGGGACUGGAGAUGAGUCAACUUUAGCUGAAAGGCUUCCCAAUGAUUCGGUGUUUUUAGAUCUUGAUGCAAAAAUUGGUAAAACUGGGAUUGAAGCGGUCAAAACUUUACAUAGUAAUGAACCCACUAUUUUGGAUUUCAAGGAAUUUAAUUAUGAUAAUUGCUCUUCGAUAGAUUGUAUUUCCUUGUUGCAAUCCGUGCUAAAUUCUCCUCAUGCUUAUAGUCAAAAUAAAGCUUUUACCAAACAUAUCGUUGAUGCUUUAAUGCAAUCUUAUGAAGAAAAACUUGAAUUAGAAGUUUCUAUCCCUAGAAAACUUUAUGACGAGAGGGAACCUACUAUUAAAAUUAAGAUUAAAAAUCAUGAAUGCUGUGAUUUGGGUGCUAGUGUUUCCACGAUUCCUAAAACUUUGCGUGAUAUGCUAGGUUUCCAUGAAUUUGAUGAUUGUUCUUUAAAUUUGCAUCUUGCGGAUUCCACCAUUAAGAAACCUAUGGGAAGGAUUAAUGAUGUUCUUAUUGUUGCAAAUAGGAAUUAUGUGCCCAUAGAUUUCAUUGUCCUUGAUAUAGAUUGUAAUCCUUCAUGUCCUAUUAUUCUUGGUAGACCUUUCCUUAGAACGAUUGGUGCAAUUAUUGAUAUGAAAGCAGGAAAUAUUAGAUUCCAAUUUCCAUUACGGAAAGGCAUGGAGCACUUUCCUAGGAAGAAAAUUAAAUUACCUUAUGAAUCUAUUAUGAGAGCCACUUAUGAAUGGAAUACCAAAGAUGGUAAUACUAGAUCUAUUCUUAUUUUUUUAUGCCUAGCCUGGGGCGUUAAACGAUAGCGCUUGUUGGGAGGCAACCCAAUUUUAUUUUUGUUCUUUACUUUUUGUUCCUGUUUAGUAAUAAAUAAUUCAUCUAGCCUCUUGUUAGAUGUGGUUUUGUGUUUUAAUUAGUGUUCGUGCCAAGUAAAACCUUUAGGAUAACCUACAGUGAUAGUUAAUUUGAUCUUGCUGAAAAAUAGAAACUUUUGCGCACACGAGAUUAGUUUUCAUAAAUCACAGAAACGUGAUUUUCAGUUGAUUAUUUUUGUAGAAGAUUAAUAACCAAAUUACCUAGGACUUCCUAAUUUGGUCGAAUAUUUGGGGUUACAGAAGUAUUCGAGAGUUGCAGAUUCCUACAGAUUGUUCUGUUUUUGACAGAUUCUGUUUUUCGUGUGUUGUUUGCUUAUUUUGAUGAAUCUAUGGCUAGUAUCGGGGGGUUGAUACGUCUCCAACGUAUCUAUAAUUUUUGAUUGGUCCAUGCUAUUAUAUUACCCCUUUUGGAUGUUUAUGGGCUUUAUUUUACACAUUUAUAUCAUUUUUGGGACUAACCUACUAGCCGGAGGCCCAGCCCGUAUUGCUGUUUUUUUUGCCUAUUUCAGUAUUUUGAAGAAAAUGAAUAUUAAACGGAGUCCAAACAGAAUGAAACCUUUGGGAGCGUGAUUUUUGUAACGAACGUGAUCCGGAGAACUUGGAGUGCAAGUCAAGAAGCAAAUAAGGCGGCCAGGAGAUAGGAGGGCGCGCCCCCUGUCUCCUGGGCCCCUUGAGCGGCCACCGACGUACUUCUUCCUCCUAUAUAUACCUACGUACCCCGAAAACAUCCAGGGAACCAACGAAAAACAAUUUCCACUACCGUAACCUUCUGUAUCCGCGAGAUCCCAUCUUGGAGCCUUCGCCGGCGCUCCGCCGGAGGGGGAAUCGACCAUGGAGGGCUUCUACAUCAACACCAUAGCCCCUCCGAUGAGUUGUGAGUAGUUUACCAUAGACCUUCGGGUCCAUAGUUAUUAGCUAGAUGGCUUCUUCUCUCUUUUUGGAUCUCAAUACAAUGUUCUUCCCCUCUCUUGUGGAGAUCUAUUCGAUGUAAACUCUUUUUGCGGUGUGUUUGUCGAGAUCCAAUGAAUUGUGAGUUUAUGAUCAAGUUUAUCUAUGAGAAAUAUUUGAAUCUCCUCUGAAUUCUUUUAUGUAUGAUUGAGUUAUCUUUGCAAGUCUCUUUGAAUUAUCAGUUUGGUUUGGCCUACUAGAUUGAUCUUUCUUGCCAUGGGAGAAGUGCUUAGCUUUGGGUUCAAUCUUGAGGUGUCCUUACCCAAUGACAGAAAGGGUUGCAAGGCACGUAUUGUAUUGUUGCCAUCUAGGAUAAAAAGAUGGGGUUUAUAUCAUAUUGCUUGAGUUUAUCCCUCUACAUCAUGUCAUCUUUCUUAAAGCGUUACUUUGUUCUUAUGAACUUAAUACUCUAGAUGCAUGCUGGAUAGCGGUCGAUGUGUGGAGUAAUAGUAGUAGAUGCAGGCAGGAGUCGGUCUACUUGUCACGGAUGUGAUGCCUAUUUACAUGAUCAUGCCUAGAUAAUCUCAUAAUUAUUCGCUUUUCUAUCAAUUGCUUGACAGUAAUUUGUUCACCCAUCGUAAUACUUAUGCUAUCUUGAGAGAAGCCACUAGUGAAACCUAUGGCCCCCGGGUCAAUCUUUUAUCAUAUAAGCUUUCAAUCUUCUUUUAUUUGCAUCUUUAGUUUUUGCAUCUAUAUUAUAAAAUACCAAAAAUAUAUUUAUCUUAUCAUACUAUCUCUAUCAGAUCUCACUUUUGCAAGUGGCCGUGAAGGGAUUGACAACCCCUUUAUUGCAUCGGUUGCGAGUUCUUUGUUUGCUUGUGUAGGUGCGUGGGACUUUUGAGGAGCCUCCUACUGGAUUGAUACCUUUGUUCUCAAAAACUGAGGGAAAUACUUACGCUACUAUUGCUGCAUCACCCUUUCCUCUUCAAGGAAAACCAACGCAAGCUCAAGACGUAGCAAGAAGGAUUUCUGGCGCCGUUGCCGGGGAGGUCUUUGCUCAAGUCAAGACAUACCAAGUACCCAUCACAAACUCAUCUCCCUCGCAUUUACAUUAUUUGCCCAUUGCCUCUCGUUUUUCUCUCCCCCACUUCAUCCUUGCCGUUUUAUUCGCCCUCUCUUUCCCAAUCUUCUCUCUCUUUUUUCGCUUGCCUUUUUCUGUUUUCUUGUGUGUUGUAUUACUUGUUGCCAUGGCACAAGAUAAGACCAAAUUGUGUGAUUUCUCCAAUACCAAUAAUAAUGAUUUCCUUUGUACUCCGAUUGCUCCUCUUAAUGAUGUUGAGUCUUGUGAAAUCAAUACUGCUUUGCUAAAUCUUGUUAUGAAAGAUCAAUUCGCCGGCCUUCCUAGUGAAGAUGCCGCUACUCAUCUAAACAACUUUGUUGAUUUCUGUGAUAUGCAAAAGAAGAAAGAUAUGGAUAAUGACAUUGUUAAAUUGAAGUUAUUUCCGUUUUCACAGAGAGAUCGUGCUAAAGUUUGGUUUUCGUCUUUGCCUAAAAAUAGUAUUGAUUCUUGGAACAAGUGCAAAGAUGCUUUUAUCUCUAAGUAUUUUCCUCCCGCUAAGAUUAUCACUAUUAGGAACGAUAUUAUGAAUUUCAAACAACUUUAUCAUGAGCAUGUUGCCCAAUCUUGGGAAAGAAUGAAAUUGAUGAUUCGCAAUUGCCCUACUCAUGGUUUGAAUUUAUGGAUGAUCAUACAAAAAUUUUAUGCUGGUUUGAACUUUGCUUCUAGAAAUCUCUUAGAUUCGGCCGCGGGAGGCACGUUUAUGGAAAUCACGUGAGGAGAUGCUACAAAACUUCUUGAUAAUAUUAUGGCUAAUUAUUCUCAAUGGCACACCGAAAGAUCUACUAGUAAAAAAGUGCAUGCUAUAGAAGAAAUCAAUGUUUUGAGUGGAAAGAUGGAUGAACUUAUGAAGUUGUUUGCUGCUAAAAAUACUCCUCUUGAUCCCAAUGAUAUGCCUUUGUCUACUUUGAUUGAGAAUAAUAAUGAACCUAUGGAUGUGAAUUUUGUUGGUAGGAAUAGUUUUGGUAACAAUGCUUAUAGAGGAAACUUUAAUUCUAGACCGUUCCCUAGUAAUUCCUCUAAUAAUUAUGGAAAUUCCUAUAAUAAUUCUUAUGGUAAUUUUAAUAAGAUGCCCUCUGAUUUUGAGAAUAGUGUGAAAGAAUUUAUGAUUUCUCAAAAGAAUUUUAAUGCUUUGCUUGAAGAAAAAUUGCUCAAAGUUGAUGAUUUGGCUAGGAACGUUGAUAGACUUUCGCUUGAUGUUGAUUAUCUUAAACUUAGAUCUACUCCUCCUAAGAAUGAUAUCAAUGAGUCUCUCAAAGCAAUGAGAAUUUCUUUGUAAGAACCGCUAGAUUGCGUGCUAUGAAAGAUUGCUUUGUAAGGGCGUGUUCUUCUAGUUUCAAUGGAAAUAAUGAUGAAGAUCUUAAAGUUAUUGAUGUGUCUCCAAUUAGAUCUUUGUUUUGCAAUAUGAAUCUUGGUAAUAAUGGGACUGGAGAUGAGUCAACUUUAGCUAGAAGGCGUCCCAAGAAUUCGGAGUUUUUAGAUCUUGAUGCUAAAUUUUGUAAAAGUGGGAUUGGAGAGGUCAUAACUUUAAAUAGCAUUGAACCCACUAUCUCGGAUUUCAAGGAAUUUGAUUAUGAUAAUUGUUCUUUAGAAGGUUGUAUUUCCUUGUUGCAAUCCGUUGUUAAUUCUCCUCAUGCUUAUAGUCAAAAUAAAGCUUUUACCAAACAUAUUGUUGAUGCCUUGAUGCAAUCUUAUGAUGAAAAACUUAAUUUGGAAGUUUCUAUACCUAGAAAACUUAAUGAUGAGUGGGAACCUACUAUAAAGAUUAGAAUUAAAGAUCAUGAGUGUUAUGCUUUGUGUGAUUUGGGUGCUAGUGUUUCCACAAUUCCGAAAACUUUAUGUGAUAUUCUAGGUUUCCAUGAUCUUGAUGAUUGCUCUUUAAAUUUGUACCUUGCGGAUUCCACCAUUAAAAAGCCAAUUGGAAGGAUCAAUGAUGUUCACAUUGUUGGAAAUAGAAAUUUGGUGCCCGUAGAUUUUAUCGUUCUUGAUAUAGAUUGCAAUCUUUCUUGCCCUAUUAUUCUUGGUAGACCUUUCCUUAGAACGAUUAGUGCGAUUAUUGAUAUGAAGGAAGAGAAUAUUAGAUUCCAAUUUACAUUAAGGAAAUGCAUGGAGCACUUUCCAAGAAAGAAAGUCAAAUUACCUUAUGAAUCUAUCAUGCGAGCUACUUAUGAAUUGAGUGCCAAAGAUGGCACCACUUAGAUCUAUCUUUGUUUUUAUGCCUACCUAGGGGCGUUAAACGAUAGCGCUAGUUGGGAGGCAACCCAAUUUUAUUUGUGUUUUUUUUGUUUUUGUUCCUGUUUAGUAAUAAAUUUUGCAUCUACCUUUUGUUUAGAUGUGUUUUUAUGUUUUAAUUACUGUUUGUGCCAAGUAGAACCUAUAGGAUAACCUAUGAUGAUAGUUGAUUUGAUUCUGCUGAAAAACAGAAACUUUGUGCACACGAAAUUAGUUUUGUUAAAUCACAAAAACGUGAUUUUGCGUUUAUUCAUUUUGCUGCUGAUCAAUAUACACAUUUUAUAGGACUUCCUAUUUUGGUAGGAUUUUUAGAGUUACAUAAGUGUGCGUUAGUUACAGAUUGCUACACACUGUUCUGUUUUUGACAGAUUCUGUUUUUCGUGUGUUGUGUGCUUAUUUUCAUGCAUCUAUGGCUAGUAUUAAGUGGUAUGAACCAUAGAGGACUUGGAAUACAGUAGGUUUAACACCAAAAUAAAUAAAGAAUAAGUUCAUUACAGUACCUUAUGUGGUGGUUUUGUUUUCUUUCACUAACGGAGCUUAUAAGAUUUCCUGUUGAGUUUUGUGUUGUGAAAUUUUCGAGUUUUGGGUAAAGCUUUGAUGCACUAUGGAAUAAGGAGUGGAAAGAGCCUAAGCUUGGGGAUGCCCAAGUCACCCCAAGAUAUUCAAGAAUAGCCAAAAGCCUAAGCUUGGGGAUGCCCCCGGAAGGCAUCCCCUCUUUCGUCUUCGUUCAUUGGUAACUUUACUUGGAGCUAUAUUUUUAUUCGAUACAUGAUAUGUGUUUUGCUUGGAGCGUCAUGUAUUAUAUUAGUCUUUGCUUUUUAGUUUACCACAAUCAUCCUUGUUGUACACACCUUUUGGGAUAAGCCCACUUGAUUAGAAUUUGCUAGAAUACUCUAUGUGCUUCACUUAUAUCUUUUGAGCUUGAUAGUUUUGGCUCUAGUGCUUCAAUUAUAUCUUUUAGAGCGCGGCGGUGGCUUAAUUUUGAAGAAAUUGCUAGUCUCUCAUGCUUCACUUAUAUUAUUUUGAGAGUCUUUUAGAACAACAUGGUAUUUUCUAUGGUUAUAAAAUUGGUCAUAGAAUGGUAGGCAUCCAAGUUGGGUAUAAUAAAAACUAUCAUAGGAAGUGAAUUGGAUGCUAUGAUCAAUUUGAUGCUUGAUAAUUGUUUUGAGACAUAGAGGUAGUAAUGUUAGAGUCAUGCUAGUGGGCAAUUAUGAAAUUUAGAAAUACUUGUGUUGAAGUUGGCAAGUCCCGUAACAUGCACGCAUGGUAAAAGUUGUGUGACAAAUUUGUUGCAUGAGGUGCUCUUUUAAUUGCCUUCCUUAUGAGUGGAGGUCGGGAUCGCGCGAUGGUUAACUCCUACCAACCCUUCCCCUAGGAGCAUGCGUAGUAGUACUUUGCUUCGAGGGCAAGUAGACUUUUGCAAUAAGCAUAUGAGUUCUUUAUGACUAAUGUGAGUCCAUGGAUAUACGCACACUCACCCUUCCACUUUGCUAGCCUCUAUUAUACCGCGCAACUUUCACCGGUAUCAUGCACCCAUUAUUUACCUUCCUCAAAACAGCCACCAUACCUACCUAUUAUGACAUUUCCAUAGCCAUUCCGAGAUAUAUUGCCAUGCAACUUUCCACCGUUCUGUUUAUUAUGACACACUUCAUCAUUGUCAUAUUGCUCUUUGCAUGAUCAUGUAGUUGACAUCAUAUUUGUGGCAAGGCCACUUCCAUAAUUUUCAUACAUGCCGCUCUUGAUUCAUUGCAUAUCCCGGUACCCCACCGGAGGCAUUCAUAUAGAGUCAUAUUAUGUUCUAGUUUUGAGUUGUAAUUCUUGAGUUGUAAAUCAAUAAAAGUGUGAUGAUCUUCAUUAUAAGAGCAUUGUCCUAGUGAGGAAAGGAUGAUGAAGACUAUGAUUCCCCCACAAGUCGGGAUGAGACUUCGGACUUUAAAAAUAAAAUAGAAAAAAAAGAGAAAGGCCAAAGAAAAAAAAGAGAAAGGCCAAAGGGAAAAAAGAACGAAAAAAAGAAAAAAAGAAAA
rnacentral:lncRNA from 1 species